CCUACGGGAGGCAGCAGUGGGGAAUAUUGCACAAUGGAGGAAACUCUGAUGCAGCGACGCCGCGUGAGUGAAGAAGUAAUUCGUUAUGUUAAGCUCUAUCAACAUGGAAGAAAAUUACGGUACCUGAGUAAUAAUCUCCGUCUAACUACGUUCCAGCAGCCGCGGUAAUACGUAGGGGGCAAGCGUUAUCCGGAUGUACUGGGUGUAAAGGGGGCUUAGACGGGAGUGCAAGUCCGGUGUGAAAGGCGGGGGCUCAACCCCCGGAGUGCUCUGGAAACUGUACGGCUGGAGUGCAGGAGAGGUAAGUGGAAUUCGUGGUGUAGCGGUGAAAUGCGUAGAUAUUAGGAGGAACACCAGUGGCGAAGGCGGCUUACUGGACUGUAACUGACGUUGAGGCUCGAAAGCGUGGGGAGCAAACAGGAUUAGAUACCCGAGUAGUC
rnacentral:rRNA from 1 species